rnacentral:rRNA from 1 species
UACGGGGGGGGGCAAGCGUUGUUCGGAAUUACUGGGCGUAAAGGGCUCGUAGGCGGCCAACUAAGUCAGACGUGAAAUCCCUCGGCUUAACCGGGGAACUGCGUCUGAUACUGGAUGGCUUGAGUUUGGGAGAGGGAUGCGGAAUUCCAGGUGUAGCGGUGAAAUGCGUAGAUAUCGGGAGGAACACCAGUGGCGAAGGCGACUACCUGGCCUGUUCUUGACGCUGAGGCGCGAAAGCUAGGGGAGCGAACAGG